rnacentral:lncRNA from 1 species
AGAUCAUGGCAACGGGCUCGGGCGGGGAGCGCGUGGCGGCGGCGGCGGCGGUAGCGGCGGCGGCAGUUUGGUCGCGGGCCGGGACGGCGGAGCGGCGGCGGAGGCGGCGGUGGCUGUGGCGCCGGCACCGGCCCUGAGCGUCAUGUGGCGCAGCAGCCUCGAGCAGGAGUCAGCGGCCGGGUGGGAGCCGGACGAGACGGCGGCGGCCGAUUCGCUAGAGGCGGAGGAGGGAGAGCAGCUGGGUGUAGACGCUGGCGCGGCCGGGGAGCCCGAGCGCCCGGAGCGGGAGGAGCAGCCCAAGGCCGUGGGCCCGACCCUGACCCCGACGCGACGCCGCGCGACCGAGGAAGGAGAUGUCCGCGUCGUCCGCCGGCUGCCGCCCGCGCUGCCCCAGGACUCGCCGAGGCCGGUGGCACGGGCCCUGAGCCAUCUCGUGCAGGCCCGGGGCCGGAACCGGGGCUAUCGGCGGAACGCGGACUCAGUGCGGCCGGUCACCGUGGACAGCUCCAAGGCUCGCACUUCCCUGGACGCGCUGAAGAUCAGCCUUCGCCAGCUCAGGUGGAAGGAGGUGAGGCCCGCAGGCUCCGGCGCGGGG